ACCGUCGCAUUUCAGCCUCGGAUGCCGGCGCGAUGCCUCUGUUCACAGCCAACCCGUUCGAUCAUGACGUGGGUCAGAAGAUCAUGUUGGAUCACCUGGCAUUGCUGUUACAGAGUCGGAUGAGCCACCAUAUGAACUGAGCCAUCUCUCCAGCCCAAGACAGGGUAUUUAAAAUAUAAAACCUGUGAACUCUUUCUUCUAGGAAAUAGUUCAUGGAAGCCUGUUGUGUUCU
rnacentral:lncRNA from 1 species